rnacentral:rRNA from 1 species
AGCCUAACUAACCGAUGCGCCUUCGGGCGGUUCUUGUUGAAUCAUGGCAUUCAUUCGGACCACGUGCAAACGUGGCAGCGGAUACGACUUUGACACCUAUCAGUUUUCGAUGGUAGUGUAGUGGACUACCAUGACGUUGACGGGUAACGGAGAAUUGGGGUUCGGUUCCGGAGAGGGGGCCUGAGAAACGGCCACCAUAUCCAAGGACAGCAGCAGGCGCGCAAAUUGCCCACUCUCGGAACGAGGAGGCAGUAAACACGCGUAGGAAUGACUGCGGCUUUCGCCGGAGUCAAUUCAAAUGAGAGCAAUCUAAAUCAAUCAACGAGGAUCAAGUGGAGGGCAAGUCUGGUGCCAGCAGCCGCGGUAAUUCCAGCUCCACAGGCGUAUACGCACGUUGCUGCAGUUAAAAAGCUCGUAGUUGGAUGUCUGGCAGCGACUGGGCCGCCCGCCGCAUUAGCGCGCGAGUGCGGUUUUGGUUCUGCCAUCCUCGGGUAUCCGUCCUGCCUGCCAUUCACUUGGCCGGGCAGGUGGUCCCGUCUGUCACUUUGAACAAAGGGGUGUGCUCAAAGCAGGCUAUUGCCUUGAACUUUUUAGCAUGGGAUGAUAACAUAGGAUCUAUGGUCCGUGUUGUCGGUUUCCGGACUUCAGAUAAUGAUUAAUGAGGACGGUUGGGGGUGCUCGUAUUGCGUGGCCAGAGGUGAAAUUCUUGGAUUCGCGCACGACGAACUUCUGCGAAGGCAUUCACCAAGGACGUCCCUGUCGAUCAAGAACGAAAGUAGGGGGAUCGAAGACGAUCAGAUACCGUCGUAGUCUCUACCACAAACGAUGCCAACUCACGAUUGGCCCGCGUUGCAUUUUCGACCGGGUCAGCAGUGUGUGAGAAAUCAAAGUUUUCGGGUUCCGGGGGGAGUGUGGUCGCAAGAUUGAAACUUAAAGGAAUUGACGGAAGGGCACCACCAGGCGUGGAGCCUGCGGCUUAAUUUGACCCAACACGGGAAAACUUACCAGGUCCGGACACAGCGAGGAUUGACAGAUUGAAGCUCUUUCUUGAUUCUGUGGGUGGUGGUGCAUGGCCGUUCUUAGUUGGUGGAGUGAUUUGUCUGGUUGAUUCCGUUAACGAACGAGACCACGAUCAAAAAAUAGAGUUCAUGUUCCUUCGGGGACGUGUAAAUCUUCUUUUUGAGACAGCUGCUUCUCAAAGCAGAGGAGGUUCGUGGCCAUAACAGGUCUGUGAUGCCCUUAGAUGUCCUGGGCGGCACGCGCGCUACACUGUGAUCCGCAUCGAGUCCAACCUUGGCUGGCAAGCCUGGGAAAUCUCUGAAAAGAUCACGUGACGGGGAUUGAUGGUUGUAAUUUUCCAUCAUGAACGAGGAAUGCCUAGUAUACGCAAGUCAUCAGCUUGCAUAGAUUACGUCCCUGCCCUUUGUACACACCGCCCGUCGCUACUACCGAUUGAACGAGUUUGUGAUGAGUGCGGACAAGGACACGUCCGGGCAACCGGUCGCGGCCUUGGAAGCACCGCAAACAUGCUCGUUUAGAGGAAGUAAAAGUCGUAACAAGGUU